ACACUCCUGCGGGAGGCAGCAGUGGGGAAUUUUGGACAAUGGGCGAAAGCCUGAUCCAGCAAUGCCGCGUGAGUGAAGAAGGCCUUCGGGUUGUAAAGCUCUUUUGUCAGGGAAGAAACGGUGAAAGCUAAUAUCUUUUGCUAAUGACGGUACCUGAAGAAUAAGCACCGGCUAACUACGUGCCGGCAGCCGCGGUAAUACGUAGGGUGCAAGCGUUAAUCGGAAUUACUGGGCGUAAAGCGUGCGCAGGCGGUUUUGUAAGUCUGAUGUGAAAUCCCCGGGCUCAACCUGGGAAUUGCAUUGGAGACUGCAAGGCUAGAAUCUGGCAGAGGGGGGUAGAAUUCCACGUGUAGCAGUGAAAUGCGUAGAUAUGUGGAGGAACACCGAUGGCGAACGCAGCCCCCUGGGUCAAGAUUGACGCUCAUGCACGAAAGCGUGGGGAGCAAACAGGAUUAGAUACCCGUGUAGUCCCAUGA
rnacentral:rRNA from 1 species